UUUCCGCUGCUUCCUGCCCCUGACCGCUAUGCACAAAACUUUUUGCAAUAGACUGUACAAACAUUCACAGUAAGGCUACAAUCACUGGUGGCAGAAACGUUGAUUGAGGUAGCGAGCGCAAAGAAGCAAAAACGAGCAGUAGUGGAGCAAUGUGAAAAAAAAAAAAAUGGAUGAAAGAUUGCGGGUUCGAUUUUUAAAUGGGAUUAACGAGAGGAUUAAACGAACAGUUAUGUCUCACGAUCCGAAAACGUUCGAGGAGGCGCUAUUAGUUACUACACGGGAAAAAUUAAUCGAUCAGGUGAUAGGUAAGCCGUGUCCUUACGUGGGCAAAUUGAAGAAAUUAGUGGUCUAUCGCCUCAGCGGGCAAUAUAGCCGCUGAGGCGAUAGACCCAGUCGGGCGAGUUGACCAUGACUCAAGAAGUUUGCAAACCGCGAUCAAACAAAUCAACGAUAGGCUCGACGGAUUGGAACUUAAAGUAGAGAUCAAGACAAACUCACAAUCGACAACUACCUCGCAACGUACAACACCGUCAGGAAUACGAGAGAUGUCGCGUUACAGGGUAUCGAUGCCGCUGCAAUACUACGAACACAAUGGGAUUCGCCCAUCGCAUAAUUACAGGCAGCCACGAUAUGACUGGCAUCCACAGCCUCGUUUAACUGAUUAUCAAGAUUUUACAGAUAGACCUACACCGAGAUUUAACCUGCCGAGAGAUAAUGGAUGACACUAAAACUAACAACGAAAGGCAAACGUCUCCACGUAUUUUAAUAUCAGGAAUGACACAACGGAAAGAAGGGAGAAUCGAAUUGUAAUAAAAAUAAUAAUAACAAUAACAACAUGAACCAUACAAAUAAACUGUUGACGAUGAUAAAACAAAUUUGUAGCCGACUUGACAGAUUUUAGAAUCGAGAUUAGAGAGCGCG
rnacentral:lncRNA from 1 species